rnacentral:rRNA from 1 species
GACAAACGCUGGCGGCAUGCCUAACACAUGCAAGUCGAACGGACAGAACAGGCAAGCUCUUCGGAGUGGAGCUGGACAGUUAGUGGCGGCUGGGUAAGUUACGUGUGAAUAACCUACCUCGUAAAGGGGAAUAACCUCGAGAAACAGAAGCUCAUACCCAAUAAUAACCUGGUUUUGCAUCAUGUAAGGAGGAAAGGCGCCUAUAGCGCUGUAGCUACAUGAUGGGUUAGAGGCCGAUUAGCGAGUUGGUGCGGUAAAGGCUCACCAAGGCGACGAUUAGUAACCGGUCUGAGAGGAUGAACAGUCACAUUGGGACUGAGACACGGCCCAAACUCCUACGGGAGGCAGCAGUGGGGAAUAUUGGGCAAUGGGCGAAAGCCUGACGGAGCAAUGCCGCGUGUGUGAAGAAGGUCUUCGGAUUGUAAAACUCUGUACGUAGGGAAGAGGGGCAGUUGGAGAAAUUGACACUACUAUGACGUUAGAUGAAGAAGAAGCCCCGGCUAACUAUGUG